GCCUCCUCUUGGGAAGCAGAGUUCGGGCGAUCUAAAGAAAAGUGCUGGCAUUUUUCAGACACCAGCAUAACAAUAAUUUUCCUCUGGAACAACACUGGGGAAAAAAUCUGUCAUCACUGGUUCUUGGAAAGGGAAAAGUCCUACACACAGUGGUUCCCACCAGCACAAGUAUUUCUGAGGCUGUGAAACUAACUCUACCUAAAGCUGAGUUUGAGGAGGGUAGCAACGUAAACAGAAGUAAGAAGUCCAAAAGAGAUGGCAACAGUUCCACCAACUCAUUUCAGGUUGAAUAAACUUCCACAUUGAGGCUGAGCAUUGAUCAAAGCAGUCUCUGAUGAUGUCAUGCUCUGAAUUGCAGAUGACCACCUCCUGACAUCAGAACAAAAUUAUAGACUAUAUAAUGCAGAGACUGCAUUUCU